rnacentral:lncRNA from 1 species
AAUUAGAGAAAGACAAUGACAAACGAGUGCCUUUCUUCCUAGCGACCAGAUGAGGCUGCCAAUAAAUCAAGGCACAGGGGCCUGUUAUCGCAGGUGGCACAGGUGGGUCUGAGCUUGGUCCUGUCUCUCCCAUCACCUGCAGGAGCUGAGGCCAGAGGGCUUGCAGGGGUCCAGGGGGAGGCCUUCCUGGCUGGUCUGUGCUGGCUCGGCGUCUGUCCUCUGGCAACAAGUUCAGCACGUCCCAGCCCUGCAGGGAGGACAGGCGUGGUCCCGGAGCUUCUCCGUGGAGCGCAGAGCAGGAUCUAACUGGAAGCUAAUGAAGUAGAAGCCUUGCAGCCCUGGGAGGGUGCUCACGAGGUCAUCACAUUUUGCAAAUGUUGCAUAAUAAGUCAUUUCUUGAGUGGACAUUGGCGGUGACAGUCAAGGACAGUCGCAAUGGGGAGCAUCCUCGUGCCUGAUGAAACGGAAGGAGGACCAGUGAGGUCACUGCAAGCUGCCGGCCACCCCCGAGUCAUUCUUGUUAAGCUCUGCAGUGCGUCGCCCCCAUCCCAGCAGAGCUGCUCCCUCGCUUACAUUCUGCGCAGGCUCUCACCGGAUGGACGUUGUGUUUCUCUGGGAAGAAAGAGACUGAAGGAUUUUAGGAACCUUGCCAUUUAAAAAACAGAAGACAGGAAAAAAAUUAUCCAGAUCAUUGACACCACUGAAAAGACUUGUCUUGGUUGGGUGGGGGUGGCAGGAGGGCAAAGACCCAGGGCUCCCCUGAGGGGUUCAGGGGGGCGCAUUGCCUCAGAGGAAGUUUCCAAGAAAUACAACUGCAUUUCUUAAUACAGUAUUUCAUCUGCACUUGAUAGAGCGUAGGUAACAUUCAUUCUGAAACAAAUGAUAAAAACUGUGCUACUCAUUUAGAAAUACAUUUUAAUAAAGUGCUAAAAAU